GUCCUUUUGAAAAUAAUUUAAGGUCGCGCCUGCUCAAUGACUAUAGUUAAAUAGCUGCAGUAUCUUGACUGUACUAAGGUAGCAUAAUCAUUAGUUUCUUAAUUAGGAACUGGAAUGAAGGGCUUGAUGAAAAAAUAACUGUCUCUUUUAUAUUUAUUGAAAUUAAUUUUUAAGUAAAAAAGCUUAAAUUUAAUUAAAAGACGAGAAGACCCUAUAGAGUUUUAUAAUUAAUUAAUUUAAAUUAAUGAGGGUUAAAAUUUAUUUUUAUUAAUAUAAUUAUUUGAUUGGGGUGAUUAAAAAAUUAAUUGAACUUUUAUUUAAUAAAACUUAAAUGUAAGAUUAGUUUGAUCCGUGUAUAAUGAUUAUAAGAAUAAAUUACCUUAGGGAUAACAGCGUAAUCUUUUUUUAGAGUUCUAAUCGAUAAAAGGGAUUGCGA
rnacentral:rRNA from 1 species